rnacentral:tRNA from 1 species
GGUAAUGUAGCUCAGUGGUAGAGUGCUUGCCUUGCAUGCAUGAGGCCCUGGGUUCGAUUCCUCAGCACCA